rnacentral:lncRNA from 10 species
GCUUCCAGCUCCCUCGGGGUUCGCUCGGAGGGUUGGUGGUGCCCCUCUCACCGGAAACUCUUUCCCUCCGAACGGAACGGUUUUUUUUCUCCCAGGGAAAGGAAAAACGAGUUGUUUUCUGUUGCGUUGGAAGGACAACAGAUCUUGCACGGGGCUUAAUGUCUUCAUUUAUGACUUAUUCUUCUCCUUCCAGUUCUCUACAAUUAAGAAAGAAAAAAAAGCCCAACUUUGACCCCGACGUGACUUGAACACGCAACCUUCUGAUCUGGAGUCAGACGCGCUACCAUUGCGCCACGAGGUCACAGCAAGCAUGCGACUUCGCAUCGCUAAAGACCUCGUUUCUCCAGUAUGGUCGCAGGGCUGGGAGGCUACAGAGGAAAAAUGCCCUCUUUCCUGAAUUCCAGCACCAACUUAGAGCCCUGGCGAGUGUCGUUUCUCGGAUGUGAGAGAAGAGCAGGAAUUUAGGAUCAACUGUGAGUCCUGAGGUGCCAGCCCCCACAAGGCUGUCAGGAAAGCAGGAGCAAGCAAAGUUCGCUUGUCUUUCCUCUGGGAGGGAAGUCAGCGGCAAUUACUGAUUCCACCUCCAGGUGGCCAGACACCAUCAGCCACACAGCAAAGACACUGUGAGAACUUCAGAACCUGCGUCCAGAGUCUACUGGAAGGCUGCCCCACACCAAGGAAAGACCAGUGUCACUCUAUUUCUUUUUCUUUUUUUUUUUUUGAGACGGGAGUCUCGCUCUGUCACCCAGGGUUGAGUAACAGGUGGCGGCGAUCUCAGCUCACUGCAAGCUCUGCCUCCUGGGUUCACGCCAUUCUCCUGCCUCAGCCUCCCAAGCAGCUGGGGAUACAGGCGCCCGCCACCUCACCCGCUAGUUUUUUUGGUA